GUUAUCUUAAAAAAGAAGGAAAGAACCCAAGCACCAAAUAACAACCAGCAACUCACAAACUUAUUUUUUUAAACUUCCCUGAAGUUGCCAUGGUUACCCGCAUGCGUGGUUCCUGGCUCUCUUGCUCUAAGUGGAGCGGCUCAGAGCAGGCAUUAAACCCUUGGUGCGGGGCUUCCACGGUGUGUCCGCCCAUCUGAGGNNNNNNNNNNNNNNNNNNNNNNNNNNNNNNNNGAGGCUACAGUAGAGAUUUUGCAGGACCAUAGUGCAUGAUAUUCUAAUGUAGCGCUACUGAGACUCUGGAGACAGAAUUUGUCUCCCACGCUAAAAUAAUUAUAGCCGGGAGAACAGAGAAGACAUCAUUCCAGGCCCUUAACGAUUGGAAAGCUGCCUCUGAGACUCUGAAGGUUUACCUGCUGAUACUCGCUCCUUCCCAGUAACCCUCCAUCCCAAGGGGAGCCCCAGAAAGAACACCAGGGGGGCCUCCCUGCUGCCGCAGAACCACCUCACCCGCCACUCCAGCACUAAGUCAGAGCUGCCUGAGGAAGACUCCGCACACGUUUCCCUCGAGCUGGUCUGCAGGCCCCUCUGGCUGGGACCCUGUCCUGGGAGCUGCCCGUCUGCAAACAGAGAGCCCACAGUGCCUCGGGAAAAAUUGGCUGAAUAAAAGAUGCGUUGGAGGGAAGGACAGGAGAUACAGGAACGAGGAUGGAGCAGAGCAAGAUGGGGUUGAAGGAGCGUCCACAGAAGCUUCUGUGCAGGCCAGGCUGAGAGGUCACUACCCAGAAGGCUGAGGGUCCCCGAUGCUGGCCGGGCUCCAGAGACUCCUGAACUUGUGGAUGUGGAGUUUUUCCUCCUCCAGUUUUGUGAUGAAUAAAUUCACUUGUCUCCCCA
rnacentral:lncRNA from 1 species